CAAUAAACCCAUGCAUGUCUUUGCCUUUUGUUUUAUACAGAUUCACUUCGAAAAGGGAAUUCGAAUGGGAAUUUGGAAAACUUUGUUUGCGUUGUUCUCACAGAACACGCUGAAGCACACAAUUUGAUUACAUUAAAAGAGAGCAGUCAGUGUACCGUUCUUCGUUUUAAUGAUAUAGAUAAAAUUAGCCUUAUUUAUUGUGAUUUGAAAGAAGAAAAUGGCACAAUCUCCAGGAGAAAAUUGAAAAAAAGAAGACUAAAUUCAAAAAUUUAGUAGCACCAUUGGAAGAAAAGGGGUUACUGCAGCCAUUUGGUGGAGGAAUGGAAUAUGGUAAAAAAUAUCUCGAGUAUCAAGUUAAAGAUAGUAAACUUUGGGAUUCAUUGGUAAUGAAUUAUACAGUUCAGAGACGCCCUGGCUCGGUAAUAUAAACGUUUACUUUAAAGGAGCAUGCAACUCAUUUUUUAUGUUCUUUCCUACUUUAAUUUGAAUAAUUUAUUGAGUAGAACUUUUCAUUAAGAUUUAGUUUGAUCCAUGGCUAGUUGUUCGAAACCCGAUUAGAUUAAUCCUUGCUAAUAUAUAAACCAUAGUUCCUAACUUUUUCUGGAAAUCUUGUCUGGUUCAAUGGAAGUUUUACUUUUAAAAGUUCUGAAACAAGCAGAUUCGCAGAAAUACAUAAUUCAAGACAUCAGGUUAAUUGGUCACCGAUAAAUAUAUUCUGAAGAUAUAUAGGCUUCCAAAAUUGAAGACUAUGAACAAAAUUCGAACACGCGGCUUAUCAUGCAGACAGACAAACAUAGAAACAAAUCAGGGUUAAUUUAAAAGAUAGCCUUCUGGUAUGUGUAUCACUUUUUAUCAAACUACGUCUCCAAUGUCAUUGAAAUACACUUGUUCAUUUUGAAUAUAAGAUAUUAAAGAUUCUUGAGAUAUUUUGUCGAAAACUGUUGAAUUGUCUUUAAAACCCCUAUAUACUUUGAAAUUGAAAAAAAAAUGUUUCCGACGUUGCACAUGCUCCAUAUAAAAUUAAUAUACUAAAUUUAUUUUUUUAUUUGUGCAUGCCUAUAUACAGAAUAAUAUUUUUUUAUUUCCUGCAAUCUUAUUGGCUGGCGAAUCGAGUGGGCAGCUUUUUACGAUAUCUUGACCGCGUGGUCGAAAAGCCAGUUAUUUUUUAGUGUAAAUUAACCGAGAAGCAACCUCGUUCCCAGGGCUUUCGUGUAAGGACGAGGUGAGACACGAGAAAGCGCUGGUCUGGGCCGGUCACGUGACUACCCAAAAACUGGCAGUAUUUGACAGCUACUUGUGAAGGAGCGGCGAGAUAUUCUUUAAUGAAAUAUACAAGUCUUCGAAACAAAUAAACAGCCAAAAGACUUCUCAAUCGAUAUUACUAAAUCUCUGAAGACUCCGUCUAUGUUUUCUAAGAUAUACCAAUAUUUCUGGAGAUUUUCAACCACAGGCAAAGCUGCAUCCAGGCUGCAUCUAGGCGUCUCCAUGCAAGUGGUGAUUCACGUGCCGAAAUUUGCUUUCUCUCGCCUUGAAAUAUGGCUAUUGCUAUUAAUACUUUAUAGUUUAAAUAUGCUCUUAUAGAUCUGACUUAGUUCAAUAUAAAUAAACACAAAUAUAAAACCUCGCGUAACCUGUUUACGCUGUACAGGAAUAUACGGAUUCGUUUGUGUCGCCGGACACCAACACUAGUUGCUGUUUAGGAGCAAUGCUGCCUUCAAAUUUUAUCCCCUUCACACUCUUUGUCUAUCUUUGUUUUAUUUUAUUGUAUAUAGUCGCAAUUUUCACUAUUCGGAGUAUUCUGAAACUGUAAAAUUCGGUGGCGUGACGAAUCUUGUAGAGACUACACUACAUCGGCCUAGGCGUAGAGCUAUUAGGUAUAAACAGGGCCUAAAUUAAUUUAGUAGUUUCAUCUUUUGUCUUGCCUUUAUGUCAGUACAGAAUAUUGUAAAUUAAAAUAUUACCACAAUGCAAUACGCGUAGUAUUUUAUCAGACAUGUCACAUCUGCAAUACAUUAUAAAUACUGUACAAGGAAAACUACAGCUUAAAUAAUAGUAGACGUUUCUUGUUUUGUCAGAAAACAUCACAACUCACGUCGACACGGCUUUUGAGUUUUGUAACCGGCCGAGGAGAAAGUAAACAUGCAGUCGGGAAAACGUCUUACUUCGAACAUUCUCGUACACACAAGGAUCAUAAACAUACAAAUGUUCAAUUAUUAAUAUUGUCAACUGUCAAGUUCAGUUAUUUUUAGACAAUAUGGUGUUGGCCAAUCAGAAUGCAAAAUUGACCGGCCCAGACCGGGGCUUUCUCGUGCAUCGCCUCGUCCUCACACGAAAGCCCUGCGAACGAGGUUGACCGAGGAGUGAAGUAAAUUUUCAAUACUAAAGAUAGUAAAAUACAGUGAAUUAACUAUUAUAAGUGAAUUGACUUCAAUGGACUUAAUACCUCAUGCAUGUCAAGCCCGAAAUGUAUUUUUAUUUGAGCAAAAUGUGAAAAGCUAUAGCUACAACAUACAACUUGUUCUUAAACACAAAAUUUCAAGAUUCCUGGGUUUAAUUCGGUCACAUACCCUUUUAUAAAUGUUGUGAUGAACAAAAUGUUUUCGGCAACUAAAAUUUGUAGUUGUCUGACAAAAGCUAUUUUUCAAGCAUGUUCGUAAUUUAAAACGAUCCGCAAAGAAAAUAAAUUUAAUUAGUUCACAUUCUGCAUUGUUUGAGCAGAAAAGCAUUUAUUGCAUUGAAACUAAAGGCUUUUUAUCCAUUUUAUCGCUUCGUUUUAGCAAUUUGUCAGCCACAUACUUGGACUAUAUAUAUGAGCCGAUGCAAAUCCAGCCGGCAAGAUGUAGAAAAACAAGAAAAUAUUUGUCUGCUUAUGCAUGAUUUUGUAUUAUUUUUCAAUAUUUUUCAACAGUUGUUGCAGUUUAACAUAUCAAAAACUUUACUGUUUUGCCCUUCGCCGGGUUGAGAACUUGCAUAAGUGUAUGGCAAGUAAAGCAUGAGCGCGUGACGUCACUAAUUACAUGUUAUAAAAAUUUCAAAAUCGAUCUUCUAAAUAAAAUUUUUCCGUGCAUAUUUACUCCCAAAUUAUGAAAGAUGUGAAAAAACUCGUUUCGUCUUUCAUGGCAUUAUGAUGAAUGGUAUAUGCUGGAAGAACACUUGGAAUGCAUGUUUUUGUGUUCUCCCAACAUUCCCCGCUUGCAUUAUAAUUAUAAAAUCACUAGAGAAACAUAGCCGGCGGAACCAUAGCCGACUAUUAUAGCCCCUCCAAAAGAUGGAUAAGGUUUAAAUUUCGAAGUUUAUAUAUAAAAGUAUAGGAAAUAUUUCACUAUGUUUAAAGCGAAACCAGGAUUAUUUAUAAUAAGUUAUUAGACGUUUUUAGAAGUGAUCAUCAUGGUUAAACAAUCGAUCAGUUUAUUCUGUAUAUUUUUAAAAUUGAAAAAAGCAAACAAAAAGUUUUUAAUUAUAGCUACAAAAUUAUUAUGAUUUUCUAAAUAUUAGUUAGAUGUGUUAUUAUGCGCAUGUGUUAUUAUGCAGCUUAAUUUAAUGUAAAAUUCGAACGCUUUGUAAAACGUUUUAAAAUGUUUGUAUAACUCUGUAGCUAUAGGCUAUAAAAUUUACGAGCUUGACAUAAAAUUAUUUCAAUUUGUCAAUGUUCUGCAAUCUGUUGUCCUUGAUCAUUUGUUGUGAAGCAAUAACAAAUCAAAUGUCUAGCUGCUCCUUUCAUUAACGAUUUUUUUGGUUUCCGCAGAUUAAUAUUUUUUCCCUUUUCCCUCUCAAGUCAUAUUCGUUUCACUCCUGGAAUUCGCCAUAUAGUUGUGAUCUGUGAGGAGGUCCACCCAUGAUCGGCCAUGAAACGGAGCCAGGCAUCCGUGAUUAUUGAUUAACUUUAGACUUCGCUAACGCUUUCCUUUUCCCGGGUGUGAAUAACCGUGGAAUUAGUACCCUUGCAUGCAGCUCUAGAGAUGAAAGUACGCAACUCGUUUUCUAAAAUUUUGAAAUUUAAUUUUAAAUUUCUAGGUACACGAGCAAUUUUUUCAAAGCAUCAAUAUGGAGCUACCAAGUGAAGCGUCUUCAGAUAUAACAGGUAUUUUUUAUCUAUUAUAUAUGCAAGUUCAUUUGGUGCUCUUUCCUGCAUGGACCGGAAUGAUUCUGGU
rnacentral:lncRNA from 1 species